UUAUAUCCCUCCAAAAACUGUUAUAGCCACUUCUGAACUGUUGUUCAUCUGCGGUUAAUAAUUGACCAAAUACUUUCUGGGUUUGCUAUUCAUCCGCUUUUACACAAGUAGAUUCCGUCACAAUACGAAGGUUGUUCACGGAAGAUGCGGAGUCACACCUUAAGAUGUUAGCACACUAUGAUGUUUUCAGCGAUGAUAUUUAUGUUAAUUUUACCAAAUCGAUAUCUGCUGCAGCCGUAGUCCCACUCUGAUGUCGUUAUUAUACUGUCAAUCUGUUAUUUAUUUGAAGUUAUCAUGUAAAUGGUGGAGCAUUUUUUUGGUUGAUUAUUGAAGCAAGUAAUCAAUGUUUGAUAUAUGUUGUAAGUGGUGGAGCAUUUUUUUCAAUUGAAUUAUAGCAUAGAUUAUUGUAGAAGCAAGAUUAUACAGUAUGUAUAUUUAUGUAUGUAUGUAAUUGAAUAUGUAGAAGAAAA